CCACCCUCCCUGAAUAUGACAGCCCCAAACCAAGUCCUCCCCUCAGGACACCCACUCUCAAGCGGUGCAUCCCUGAGGCCCUUUCCUCUGCACCGAUGCUCGGACUCUCCGUGUGUGCCAUUUUGCAGUGGGGUCACGCUCCACGUGUUGUUCUGCCACUGCCUUUGGUUUCUCGACACUGCCUCGUGGACACGCAGGGAGAGCUUGCAGCUGGUGACAAGCUCUCCAGCAGGUGAGUAAUCCAGCAGCUCUUUCUGCCUCGAGGUGAGUGAGGUAACCUCUCUGGGUGCCAAAGGCAGGAGCGAAGAGAGUGAUUCACAGAGCUGUUCUCCUUAUUUGUCCAAUUGGGACCAGCCUGGUUCACUGAAGUAAGAGUCCAGGAAAGAUGAGCGUUUUUAUUUACCUGAGUGAGUCUCUGGUUUAGUGUUUCUUCUUAAACACUGAGUUCACAGGGCUCUUAAAGCAGACCGGAGUCGCAGAAAAGGGCACUGGACAGAGUCAGUCCACAAGUAUCUGCUGAGGUCCUACUAUGCGUCAGACACUGUUCAGGCACAGGGUUGUGCUGAAGACGAGAGCAACAACAUCCCAAAGCUCUGUCAUGUUGGUGGAUGUGUCAUGCUGGUGGGGGAAAGACAGAGAAGAGUCAGGUAAACAUGUAAGUACCUUUAGACACUGGUCACUGCUUACAGAAAAUACAGUCGGGUGAGAUCAUGGUCCCUUGAAGGGCAGACAGAAUCAGCAGACUUGGGGUCCAGCUUCCAUCCAGCAAGAACUGUGUGACAUGGAACACGACUCUCCCCUCUCCUGGAUUUCACUUUCCUCAGCUGCACAAAGACAGCGCUGGACCCAGUCACCUGGUGCCACCUUCUAGCCAUAGAAAAAGCACACAGGAGGUGCAGACACAAUGUUCUGUGACUAUUUCUUCCCAGAGUUCCUGUUCUACGGUUGCAGCCUCUAGGAAGGGAGAUAUUGAUUAAAAGUCCUUCAACCAAAGGCCAAAGCUCUAGAGAACACAGAACAGCAGGAAGAGGAACCCAGCCUUGAGACCAAUAUAUUUUAUAUAAAUUCAAAGCAACUUUGUGCUCUCUGGGCCUUUGCUGCCAGCCCAAGUGAGAGGAAAGUCAGAUGAUUCUCCAGGUUUGGGAAGCUAGGCUCCCACGGCCAGAAACUGCCGGGCAAGGCAGAGGCCCGAGACCUGGGGAGGAAGGUGGAGGGAGGCGGCGCUGGAGGAGAGGAUGGCAGGAGCUUCCUAGGCCCUUGGGAACCAGGGUCUGCCACAACCCCCGUCAGCUGAACAGGCUCCCCUUCCACGUGUGACCUCCCAGCUCCACCACAUUAAUCCCUCAUGGCACGGCCCCGCCACAAACAGGGCCAGCAGAUCUCGUUUGCUGAACACUCCCAGGACCAACCCGAAAGGGGACCUGAGUUCAGGCACCACCAAGAAAAUCCUGCUUUGCAAACAGGACCAGUUUAGCCCUGGAGAACCAGAGGUGGCAGGAAGGAGUGGAGAGGAUCUCCGCCUUCCCCUCCCUCAAAGGAAAGUGACUCCUACAAUUUCUUUCUUUUUUUAAAUUCACAGGUUCACGUGCCAUUUAGAAAGUGGGUUCAGUGCCUGGGGACUUGACCCUGAGCAUUAUGGACUCCAACAGCGGUAGGAUUGUGAAGUUUAAUCAAUGAUGAGAUUUUCCCACCUCAGCCUGACAGGAAUGACACUCAGCUGAGAAGAUGGCAGUGGUGCUUUUCCUUUAGGGGAAGAAAGGAGGGCCCCCGGAAACCGUCUGUCCUAUCUGAUUCAUGCUCAUUCAUAAUGCAGCAGGCUUAGGAGCCGCAAAUAACAUACUAGUGCAAGAAGGCAAGCCAGUCAGGCAGUCUCAUAUAUCACUGCUCCAUCUGUCACACUGACACAAGGAUUCAAGCUACUGAGGCCUGUGGCUCUUCACAGGGAGUUGAGAUGGCAAGAAGCAGAGGCAACUUGGGGGAGAUGCCCAUUUUAGGGUUUUGAUGAAAGCGGAGUGAAAUAAUGCUCAGUAUAAUAGUCAGACACAGUAAGACUGAGUGCCAACCAUGUGACAGGCACUGUGACAGGCUCAAGGAAUCAAAUAUCAGAUCAAAUAAGACGCUGGCAUGGGUGGACCUCAAGGACGCAUUUACCUGGGAAGGCCCCUGGCAGGUGCCCAGUGCCAAGUACAAAGUGCAAUAAACGCAACUUAAAGUCCUGACGUUCCCAGAUCUAGGAUGACCCAGGAGUCCAAUGGGAAAGUCCGAAGGGCAGCCACAAGCCAGCAAGGGACCGCUUCCUUUUUCUCCUCUCCACAGCCCAAGGAAACACUCCCUUGGAAUCGUAGAAAGGACUAAAGAUUUCUCCAUUUUACAACCAACAGACAUUAAGCAAUAUGAAAGAAAUGCUUCCCUGGACUUAAAGUAAGGACUGGAGAUGUGCUGAUUUUGUACCUAAAAUAGAUGGAGAUUCCUGGGAAAUUUUGGCCUGAGAUCCUGAACCAUCUGGCCAUGCCCUAAGCCUUUGCCUUUGCUGGCAGCAAAUACGUUCCAAGCUCCUCUAAAAAUUUGUCAGUCAAGCAUUGAUACAUUUACAGGGAGAGUGAGAAAAAAUAUUACUGAGUUUGGGAGACUAAGGCCUUAACUCUGACUUUGAAAGUCUCACUAGGAUUUCUUAUGGGCCUUGGGGCUUGGUUUAUUUUCAAAGGCGACCACUUCAAGCUGCACCCAGAGAGAAGCUCAGGUCGCACAGCGCCGAGUUUCUGAGAAGGUUACUAACAGCCGUCCUUAAAAUGUACCACCUUCCCUGCCUCUUCCCUCCUUGGGAGGAGCUGUAUAAAAUGAGGAGCCGUGGCCCUAGGGGAGCUGGAGAAUGUUCCUGAGAGAUUAUAGAUCUGGAGGCACGUGGGCCAGGACAACAAAGAGAAUUGUCUGCUGGCAAAGGCAGCUGUGGCAGAGUCUGCUACGAUGGCCACCCCCAGGAGCUCUCUCUGCCAUGGCCAGGGAGUACUGGGGCAGUCCCAGAAGGCAAAACCAGUGAGAGGGGCUAGGACCCCAUGGCUGCCUAGGGGACUCCUCAGGAAAAACCAAAGCUGGAGUGGCCCUGAGGAAGCUCUGGAGUGACUGAGGACCUAGUGAUUUUGGGGACAUGGGGCUUUCCAUGCUCAAGACAGGACAGUCUGGGGCAAACCCCACAUAUCAGCCACUCCAGCAGCUUUCGUCUUCCUGGGGGUAGCUGGGGCAUGCUGCUUAAGGACGGUCACUCCUAGAACAGCGUCUAGGAUGAAGAAAUACGGCUCAUGAGGACAUUUAAAACAACAAACCUGAUCUCACUGCCACCGGGGCCACAGAACCCCACAUGGGUGGAUGGGGCAGGCUGAGGCCGCUCAGUGGGGUGCUGGAAAGCUGGGAGGCAGGUCAGGGGCCUGCUCUGGGAGACUUCUUUUCUUUCUGUUUCCUCCUUUUUUCAUUCAAAUCUCCACCUUCAAGGGAGGGGGCCUUGGACAGCUGUACCCUCAUGAAAGUAAAGAGUAGCUCUUUCCGGUCUGCCACCAGGAAGCAAAGGAUUAGGGGACCCCACACAGCUUCCUUUGGGGGCUGGUGGGAACAGCCAGCACUCUUUUGGGCUGAGUCACAUGGAGGUCCCGUGCGUCCUCCCCUUUUCCUGCCUGAGCCAUGAUUUGCCCGUGGCCAAUGUGUGGCCUGUGGAAUUGGCACUGGGCAAGCCUGCGGCUGGGUCCCAAGGCUCCUGCUCUAGGCAGGCAUCUGCUCUCUUGCCUGGCUUUCCUGCUUGUUCUCUUCUCCCUGGCCUCUUCAACCUCUGAUAAAUAAGUCCCUUUCUCCUCCACUCUUUACCCCACUUUCAUUUCUUUCUCUUCCAUCUCCGUGUCCUGAGGAAUAAAGGAGGGCCUAGGCAGCUCCCUGGCCCCAUGCCUUCUCCCUGCCCAAGAAGUUCUUAAAUGUUUAAGGGAAAGAUGGUUUUUCACAAAGGAAAUGUUCACUCCUCCACUGGACUGUGAGUUCCACGAGGUCAGGGACUGUGUUUUCCCUGCCCCUUGCUGUCUCCUGGUAUUGGGCAUGUAAACAUGUGUUCAUGGAUUAUACAAAUAAAAAAGAAGACUGCUUUUAACAAGGGUGGCCUCUGAGGACAAGUGACGUAGAGAGAGAAGGAGAAGAUGUUAAAACUUUUUAUUUAUUUACAAUUUCCUUCUCUUAAAAAUGUUGACUUUGGUCAGGCCUUCUGGCCAAGUGGAAUGUAGCCUGAGGUCAUUGUCAGGGUCUUCUCAAGAGAUGGAUGUUGCAGGAGGGGCUGCUUCACCUCCAGUUCCCAUGGGAGCUCCACUUAUACAGGGAGAGAAAUCAGGGAAAUGAGAAGCAAGGAAGUGGGAGGAAGGUGCACAUUUAGAUGAAUUUUCUCUAUCACUCCAUCUAGCCAGCAUGUAAGCUUUGUCUGUCCUGGUUCAGAAAAGCUGGUUUCUCUCCAGAAUCCAGAGGAGGGAAGGAAGGAGCUAAUUUUAUUCAGCAUCUACUGUGUGUCAUGCACAUCACAUAAUUUAUAUCACUGAUUCAUAAGAAUCUAGUUUGAUUGUGAUCCUUAUUAAACAGAUGAAGUUCAAUAAUUCACCUAAAGUCAUGCCCACGAGAGGGAAACCCGGGAUUUAAACUGACCUUCCUACGCUUAAGCCUGUCACCCUCCUUCCAUUAUGUUAUGCUACCUGUGGUUACAAAUAUAAAGAAAAAAUCAGUUGCCAGAGUAGAAGAGGGUAAGGGGGAAGCAUCCUCUAAAAGUUGGAUGAGCCUCACAGGCAUAUGAACAAUGCUGGACGUAAGUGGGUACUUACUGUAGGAUCCUAUUUAUAUGAUGCUCAAGAACAGGCAAAACUAACCUAGGAUGCUGGAAAUGAGAACAGUGUUUGUCUCUGUGGGUGGGGAUUGAUUGAAAAAGGACAGGAGAGAGCUUCACUGGGAUAAUGGAAUUCUUCUAUAUUUUAUUUGGGUGAUGGCAGGAAUAGUGUUUGUAGGAAC
rnacentral:lncRNA from 1 species